GGGGGUAUAGCUCAGUGGUAGGGCAUUUGACUGUAGCUCAAGAGGUCCCCAAUUCAAAUCUGGGUGCCCCUU
rnacentral:tRNA from 1 species